UACGAGAGGCCCAAACGUUAUUCGGAAUUACUGGGCUUAAAGAGUUCGUAGGCGGCAUUGCAAGUAGGGUGUGAAAGCCCUCGGCUCAACCGAGGAAUUGCGCUCUAAACUGCAGUGCUCGAGGAACCUAGAGGUGAGCAGAACAGAUGGUGGAGCGGUGAAAUGCGUUGAUAUCAUCUGGAAUACCGGAGGCGAAGGCGGCUCACUGGGGGUUUUCUGACGCUGAGGAACGAAAGCCAGGGUAGCGAACGGG
rnacentral:rRNA from 1 species